rnacentral:rRNA from 1 species
GAAAUUUCAUCCGCACUAGCGAUAGCUAGUUUCCCCGGAAAGAUAUAAAAGUGUCGAGGAAAAGUUUAAUUUAUAAUAUUAAUUAUUAUAUAUGUGCUCCUUUUUUAUUAAUUUUUUUGAGGAUAAGCUCAAAAAAAAGUUAAGAUAUUUUUAGUUAAAAUUACUGUGUGGGCUUAAAAUUGGCCACCCAUAAAAGUUUGUUAUAAAAUAGUAAUCCUUAAUUUAAAAAAUAAAUAUAUUUUAAUCUAAGCCCUUACGGGGAUAAGAACUUUAACUAAAAUUAAGUUUUAUACCUAUGCUAGAAUGAGUAUUAAAACUUAAUUACAAAAGAAAUACUAUUUUAUUCUUCUAAAAAUUUUUUAGAAAAAAAUUAAUUAAUUAGAAGGAAUUCGGCAAGUUUAGUUCGUCGCCUGUUUAUCAAAAACAUGGCUCUUCGCUCACACAAAUAUAGAGAGUCGAGCCUGCCC